GGCGCGGCGGACUCUCGGCUCGGCGCCGUCCGUGGGGCGGGGGCAGCCUGCGAGGGGCUGCGCCCCCGCCGAGGGCGGGCGGUGGGCCGGGGUGGCGGGGCCGGCCGGGCACCUCGCCGGCUGCCGGGCGGGCCGUCCCUUCCCCUUCCCCUUCCCCUGCAGCGAGCGGCCGUGCCCCCGCGGCCUCGCCCAGCCAGUGCAGACACCUCCCGCCGCUGCGUGCUGCGGCGGCCGGGGAGCCGGCGGCGGGCUGGCAGGGCGCCUCGCUGGGCGGGAAGGGUCCCCCAGCCCUCAGGGAACGGCCGUGCGGAGGUCAGGCUGAGGGAGCCCCGUUCCGCUAAAUAACGUUGGUGAUCUCUGGCCGUAAGGCAGAGGAUGGAGUAAGACAGCCCGCGCAGUAAGCGGUGCUUUGUAUGUGCUCCCUCGACUUGUUUUUCCUUGGACUGGGAGGAGACCCCAAGAAACAAGUCCUAAGCAGUGUCUCCCUUCCCAGAAAAUAACUGCGGUGAUGCUACUUGCAGUGUUUUUUCUAUGUGUCAGUUCUUGGUCCUGUGAAACAUCUCUUGCAGCUGACUGAUGCUUGUUAUCAGUGCAGCAAGUUAUAAAACAGGCAGGAAGAAAAAAAUCCGUGGCCUGAAGGGCCUAUAAAUGAGGAAAAUGAUGUUAUGAAUGCUUAGAAGUUAAAAGCGAGAUGAGGUUUGUAAGCGGAAAGAAGGGACUUUUGUCAGAGGGACUGAUCUGGCUUGGAAAAGUGGAGUCUCACAGGCGUACACACCCUCCUUCGGGAACCCUCUGCCUGUCAGGUUUGUUCGUAGUGCUGGUUCCGGAGCAUCUUCGUUGUGAGUAAAUGCAGGUGACUGCUACAAAAGAGGAAAAAAUGCCUGCGCCAGACAGGAGGCAGCUGGGAAAGUUCAUUUACAAGAUUCUGUUGACAUGAGUCUGCUGUUUCUGUGAAAUUUGCUGGUCAGAAGAGACCUGGCAUAGUUUUCUCUCUGGAAACCUUCUUUACCGUGAAGACAUUGUACUUCAGCAGCAGUUUUUUUAUAUUCUUUCACAUAGAAAUUCUAUCUUUACUUGACUGAGGUUUUGCUAACGUUGCAGUCUAAUCUUAGAACAUAUAGCUAAAGUAUAUUUAAUAUAAAAUAUAUUAUGUCCACCACCUUCUGUUUAUUCCUCGAGAUUUACAUUUUAAACUAUUGAAUAGAUGUCAAUACUAUGUGCAAAUGAACAACUUCUUCUUCCUUUGGGACUAAAAAGUUUCCCAAAAUCCUAUUUUCUGUUCUGGAAAAUACUUCAUAUUACACCAAAUUAAACCGUCCUAUUUUAAUGCAAAUGAGACUAUGAUGACCACCUUGAGUACGCUUGUUUCUUUAAGCAUCAAAUUUCUUGCUUAUUUCUUUUUAGCUUGUCAAUGGAAGUAGCUUUAUCUUCAGGCUUACAUAUUGACUGGAAAAAGGGGCAGUUGCUAGGAGUACAGCUACCACUUUCUUGUAAUCUGUGGGAUUCCCCACCCUAAUUUUGGUUUUUCAUAAAGUAACUUCAUAACCAUAACAAAACAAACUUACACUCUCUUGGGAUCAUUUUCACAUUGGUAGCUCUGAACAGUUUGCAAGCAGUUUGCGAUGCUUUAGCUCUUUUGAAAAAGUGAAAGUUGCCAUCUGGGUAUGAUUAAAUAGAUUGACAGGACACAAUCUGUAGGACCUCUUCCACUGUAUGCUGAAAUGUGUUUGAUAAAGCAUCUUCUACUUUUAGAA